rnacentral:rRNA from 1 species
GGCUUAGAAGCAGCCAUCAUUUAAAGAAAGCGUAAUAGCUCACUGGUCGAGUCGGCCUGCGCGGAAGAUGUAACGGGGCUAAACCAUGCACCGAAGCUGCGGCAGCGACGCUGAUGCGUUGUUGGGUAGGGGAGCGUUCUGUAAGCCUGUGAAGGUGGCCUGUGAGGGUUGCUGGAGGUAUCAGAAGUGCGAAUGCUGACAUAAGUAACGAUAAAGCGGGUGAAAAGCCCGCUCGCCGGAAGACCAAGGGUUCCUGUCCAACGUUAAUCGGGGCAGGGUGAGUCGACCCCUAAGGCGAGGCCGAAAGGCGUAGUCGAUGGGAAACGGGUUAAUAUUCCCGUACUUGGUGUUACUGCGAAGGGGGGACGGAGAAGGCUAUGUUGGCCGGGCGACGGUUGUCCCGGUUUAAGCGUGUAGGUGUGUGUUCCAGGUAAAUCCGGUUCACUUUAACACUGAGGCGUGAUGACGAGGCACUACGGUGCUGAAGCAACAAAUGCCCUGCUUCCAGGAAAAGCCUCUAAGCAUCAGGUAACAUCAAAUCGUACCCCAAACCGACACAGGUGGUCAGGUAGAGAAUACCAAGGCGCUUGAGAGAACUCGGGUGAAGGAACUAGGCAAAAUGGUGCCGUAACUUCGGGAGAAGGCACGCUGACACGUAGGUGAAGUGAUUUACUCAUGGAGCUGAAGUCAGUCGAAGAUACCAGCUGGCUGCAACUGUUUAUUAAAAACACAGCACUGUGCAAACACGAAAGUGGACGUAUACGGUGUGACGCCUGCCCGGUGCCGGAAGGUUAAUUGAUGGGGUCAGCGCAAGCGAAGCUCCUGAUCGAAGCCCCGGUAAACGGCGGCCGUAACUAUAACGGUCCUAAGGUAGCGAAAUUCCUUGUCGGGUAAGUUCCGACCUGCACGAAUGGCGUAAUGAUGGCCAGGCUGUCUCCACCCGAGACUCAGUGAAAUUGAACUCGCUGUGAAGAUGCAGUGUACCCGCGGCAAGACGGAAAGACCCCGUGAACCUUUACUAUAGCUUGACACUGAACAUUGAGCCUUGAUGUGUAGGAUAGGUGGGAGGCUUUGAAGUGUGGACGCCAGUCUGCAUGGAGCCGGCCUUGAAAUACCACCCUUUAAUGUUUGAUGUUCUAACGUGGACCCGUGAUCCGGGUUGCGGACAGUGUCUGGUGGGUAGUUUGACUGGGGCGGUCUCCUCCUAAAGAGUAACGGAGGAGCACGAAGGUUGGCUAAUCCUGGUCGGACAUCAGGAGGUUAGUGCAAUGGCAUAAGCCAGCUUGACUGCGAGCGUGACGGCGCGAGCAGGUGCGAAAGCAGGUCAUAGUGAUCCGGUGGUUCUGAAUGGAAGGGCCAUCGCUCAACGGAUAAAAGGUACUCCGGGGAUAACAGGCUGAUACCGCCCAAGAGUUCAUAUCGACGGCGGUGUUUGGCACCUCGAUGUCGGCUCAUCACAUCCUGGGGCUGAAGUAGGUCCCAAGGGUAUGGCUGUUCGCCAUUUAAAGUGGUACGCGAGCUGGGUUUAGAACGUCGUGAGACAGUUCGGUCCCUAUCUGCCGUGGGCGCUGGAGAACUGAGGGGGGCUGCUCCUAGUACGAGAGGACCGGAGUGGACGCAUCACUGGUGUUCGGGUUGUCAUGCCAAUGGCACUGCCCGGUAGCUAAAUGCGGAAGAGAUAAGUGCUGAAAGCAUCUAAGCACGAAACUUGCCCCGA